rnacentral:sRNA from 1 species
GAUGUUCACACGCUGGCCAAGUGAUACAAUAAGGAGCUAAAUAAUACUUACUGGUUAGAUAUAUGGACUAGUUGGAGAUACGGACAGAGAGAAGGCUAGUGCAAAUGCCCCUGAAUCUGCAGAAAACGUUUCAAAAUUUUAACUGCGGAGAGACCAGCUGGCACCCCUUCAGAAAGGUGAAACAUGUUGUUGCUCAUAUUUGGACCAUUGGUCAAAAUCCUGGAAAGUACCAGGGCUAUGCAUUUCUCAGUUGUAUCUGUAGAGCUAAGAAUACAAUGAGUGUUGAAUCUUUCUUUCAUGAAGAUAUACCCCACUUUGCAGCUCUCAUAGCUCAUGAGCUUGGCCACAGCUUGGAUAUGAAACAUGACUAUAUGGCCUACACGUGUCAUGGCCAGAACCUUUGUAUUAUGCAUAAAUUUAUUACUAUAGAUAUGGGCUUCAGCAACUGAAGCUUCCACUGAUUCCAUUAGUUUUUGCAUAGCCACAGAGAAGACUGACUGUUUAAUAAACUUGAGCACCAAAUCUCCUUUGGAAAGCCAUAUUGUGGGGACAAGAUAGUGAUGAAGGAGAAGAAUGCAAGUGUGGCAUUCUUUGAUUGU